CUCAGCAGCGCCAAGCCCCGACCGUGACAGGUGCGGAAACGUGCGACUGAUAACGCAUCGGAGGUUUGCGGCGGGGAUGCGAAAGGUGCUUUUCCAUGGUGUACCAGAGUGAGAGAGCAGGAGACAGAGAUUAAGCUGGCUCUUCUGCCCAACAGCUUAUUUGAGAUAUUGGAAAAGGCUCUUCCUGUGCACACAAAUGCUAAGCUGUCUGUUUGGGAGAAAGAUCAGCCUGCAAAAACCCUGUCACCCCUUAAAGUCCACUUCAGUGACAGAUUAAGCCAUGGUAACCACUGUGUUCCCUGGCCCAUAGCAGCGGGUAAGGAUCAGCUUGAGCAAAUAGCGAGAGGCAGAGGCUGAAAGAGGAAGUGCUUUUACCUGGGCAGAGGUGCUGAAGGCCAUGAGCUCCCUGUUAUGUUGGAGACUCUUAGAAAAACAAACGUUAAAAAGGC